rnacentral:rRNA from 1 species
UACGUAGGGGGCUAGCGUUGUCCGGAAUCAUUGGGCGUAAAGCGCGUGUAGGCGGUUCGGUAAGUCCGCUGUGAAAGUCGGGGGCUCAACCCUGGAAAGCCGGUGGAUACUGUCGGGCUAGAGUCCGGAAGAGGCGAGUGGAAUUCCUGGUGUAGCGGUGGAAUGCGCAGAUAUCAGGAGGAACACCAAUUGCGAAGGCAGCUC